rnacentral:rRNA from 1 species
GUGUCAGCCGCCGCGGUAAUACGUAGGUGGCAAGCGUUGUCCGGAUUUAUUGGGCGUAAAGCACGCGCAGGCGGAUUCUUAAGUCUGAUGUGAAAUCCCACGGCUUAACUUUGGGGGUUCAUUGCAAACUGGGUGACUUGAGUGCAGGAGAGGAAAGUAGAAUUCCUAGUGUAGCGGUGAAAUGCGUAGAGAUUAGGAAGAACACCAGUGGCGAAGGCGUCUUUCUGGACUGCAACUGACGCUGAGGCGUGAAAGCAUGGGGAGCAAACAGGAUUAGAUACCCUGGUAGUCCAUGCCGUAAACGAUGAGUGCUAAGUGUUAGGGGUAU